CUCCUCCUUGUUCUUGGGUUGGUGCCAAUAUUCAAUGCUUACCAUACCCUUUUCAUGUCUCUCUCUCUCUCAUUCAUUGAUGAGAAUCUCUUAAAUUCACUCUACCAAAGAGCAUAAGAUCCCCACCUAUGAAUGCGUCUUCUCUUCAUUACCCUAUAACCUAUUCUUCUUUCACGAGUCUUAAAACCCUUUCUUCUUCAUCAUGUUCUAUGACCAUCACUUCAAGUUGAAGGAUGUCUAUAUAGUAGGGCAUGAGUUUGAGGUAAACCAAAAUUAAUACCGAACAUUACCUCCAUUAAGGGUCCGAGACUGUCCCAUUGAGCGAGCUACCCUCAACAGGUAUAUAUACACACACCCUUUUUUCUCUUAAACCUGCAAUGGAUUAUUAGGCUAUUAGACUCUCUUUUUUGGCCAUAUAUACAAAAUGAUUAUAAUCUAAACCCUCUCUCUUUUGAUAAGAUUUUGAAUAUGCAGGCUUUAUAUUGUGUAGUAUAUGUAUAUAUAUCAUGUGUGGAGUUGCAUGCAGAGCUUUCAUGGUGGUUUUAAGUGGGGGUGCAUCAUACCUCAAGGAGAAAAAAGGACCAUUUCAAAGUUACUGAGAUUUUUUUCUAGAAGGCAAUUAGAGCGGUAGAGUAGUAGGUAGGAUAAAUAUUUUCUAGUGUAAAAGGUUUACAACUUUUUUGACAAAUUGAUAUGGGCAGUUUGACAAGGCUUCUUUAUAA